CACCUGGUGUUUGCUACUGCACUUAGGAGUGCGACCCUCAGCGCGCGAGACUGAGCCCUAAGGUCACCAACGCCGCUGCGGUCCCUGCAAGCCCCGCCCCGCCUCUUGCUGCGGGGAACCCAGGCCCCAAUUUGACAGCCCUUACCCCCUCUUCCCUAUCCCCUGGCGCGCCCAACACCUCGAGAGCUAACUUUCAGGCCCAGUGCCACCCUGGGAAGGUACUCCAUCCGGGACAGAGUGUUUGACCAGCCACUACGAAGUCCUAGCGUCCGCUGAGCACUGGGCAGGGAGGCAGUGGUCGCCGCUGGCCCCUACCCCUUCCAAGUUCGGUUGGACUCUCGGGACAGUUCCACCCGUUGGGGUCUGGGGCGGGUGGCAAAUCUCCUCCCCCACUGUUCACUUUCUCCACUCGCCCCUUCCCCCAUUCACUGGGCCACGUAGAAGCGCUCUCGCUUUCGUGCCCUUUACCCCUAGAAGCCUGAAGAUUUGCACGACAGCUUUCUUCUGAGCUCUGAGACCGUCACGUCCCGAUUUAGAAACAGAGAGAAUGAACUGGCCAUCACCAACCAUCUGCUAGGAGGGGAGGUGCCCUCUCCCCAUUCUGGCCUUUUUUUCUGUUCCCUCCCUAUGUGCAACUGGUUUUCGCCUCCAGGAGACGUGCCCUCCCCCAUCCCAUCACUACCCGAGGGCAGUCACCGAGGCCGAGGCCAGGUCAAGCAGAGGCUGUUGUACCCAGGACAGCCUUGAGUGUUUGUGGUGUCGGCAUAGGUGGUAUUUGGAGAUGUCAGUGCACCAGCGACCUCUUCUAAGACUCUUCAAAAGAAACUGAUCUCUAUUGCUUGGCUUUUAGUUGUCCCUCCACUUCCCCUUGAGGACCGCUAGGUGCGUUUGUUUACUGUCUCACCUACAAGUUGAACCAACUUGAGACCUUUCACUAUGAGCUAAGUGAUUUCUAUUUUUAAAGAAGGGGCCAUAAUGUUUGUUGGCUGAACUUUUCUGUUUUGCUGACCUGAUAAUCCACUCUAGUGUUUGGCUACCAAAAAAGGUCCCUCAAGUGCUCCAGGUCCACCUGGGGGCCAUUUGCCAAACUCCCUGCCCUCCAACUACAGUCAUCAAUGCAAGAUCAGACUGAAUUUAACUCUCUUUCUUGUGACCUCCUGUCUUGGUUCUCUGCCAGUGAAUGUCUGAAAGGAAAACUGACCACAGUUAAGGAAACCUCUGUGCACUUGCCAUUGUAUCCCUGAAACCUGGAAAUGAAAAUAGAAAUCGUUUGAUGUAUGAGGAGAUGUUAUCUAAUUAGGAUGUAAGAAAUUUAAUCUUUCUAGCAUGCAGGUCAUAUAAUUAAUGUUAAUUUAACGCUCAAAUUCUCAGUCAUUAAUUUUUAUUCUCUUAAAUGCAGUUUGGCAGGGGCCUCUGAUCCAGGGCAAUGGCUUUUACUGGAUGUGAGAGCACUCUUGGUAUUAGGAGUGACUCACUGAAAACCUUCCUAACCCAAUAACAAGAUCACAUCAUGUAUGCAUUAUUAAGCUACAUAAUUGAACAGUCUAUAGUUUGCAUAUCAGACUAUUAAAAUAAUGUGUUUUGCUUUUCUCUGAACACGUAUUGUUCAAGCCUCUGCGAAUAUGUGGUGAUUCUGAUAAUUAUCACCAAAUUACAGCAAAUGUUCUCUUCAUUAACAUGAUUUCUUUCAAGCAUUUUUAAAAUGUGAAUAUCAUCAUGAAUUAAGGGACUUCUUCCAAAGUUAUACAAACUUUUAUUUAAAGGGACUUACCAUUAGGAGAGAAGGGUUGUAUUUUAAAUGGCAGAAGUAGAGAGAUACAUUUAUCUGACUUUAAAGUGUUUUCCUCCGGUCAAAUAAAAAAAAAAAGUUUUCCAUUUAGCUUUCAGUGAAGCUUCAAGGGUAGAGACAAAGAGAAGAAGAAAGGGAGAGGGAAUGAAGAGAAGAAUGUCAAGAUUUGGACGUUACUGUAGAGUGAGAAGGCAGUUGAAGUCCCUACCUACUCCUUUGUAGAAAGCUAGUGGUCCCAGGAAAAUCUUAACUGCUUAUCUGCCCUAUCCUUAACGGUGGCUCUCGUCUCGCUUUAAAAAGCCUAAACUCUGAAUUUUAUGAAGCUAACAGUUUAUUACUAACUAAACACUGUUAUUCUCAGUCCUGAGCUGUACUGUUGGAGAACCGAUACACACGGGAAUAAAACCAAAAAAAAAAAAAAAAAAAAAAGCCUUUUCUCAGAAUGUCGUCAAAGCUGAAUAGCAGGGCUUGUUUCGUUGUUGGUCUUUUUUUUUUUUUAACUAUU
rnacentral:lncRNA from 1 species